CAGCCGUAAACUAUGCUCGCUAGGUGUCAGGCAUGGCGCGACCGUGUCUGGUGCCGCAGGGAAGCCGUGAAGCGAGCCACCUGGGAGGUACGGCCGCAAGGCUGAAACUUAAAGGAAUUGGCGGGGGAGCACAACAACGGGUGGAGCCUGCGGUUUAAUUGGACUCAACGCCGGACAACUCACCGGGGACGACAGCAAUAUGUAGGCCAGGCUGAAGACCUUGCCUGAAUCGCUGAGAGGAGGUGCAUGGCGUAGACGUCU
rnacentral:rRNA from 1 species